GGGUGGUUAGCUCAGCUGGGAGAGCAUCGCCCUUACAAGGCGAGGGUCACUGGUUCGAUCCCAGUACCGCCCACCA
rnacentral:tRNA from 1 species